rnacentral:rRNA from 1 species
GGUUAAGCGACUAAGCGUACACGGUGGAUGCCCUGGCAGUCAGAGGCGAUGAAGGACGUGCUAAUCUGCGAUAAGCGUCGGUAAGGUGAUAUGAACCGUUAUAACCGGCGAUUUCCGAAUAGGGAAACCCAGUGUGUUUCGACACACUAUCAUUAACUGAAUCCAUAGGUUAAUGAGGCGAACCGGGGGAACUGAAACAUCUAAGUACCCCGAGGAAAAGAAAUCAACCGAGAUUCCCCCAGUAGCGGCGAGCGAACGGGGAGCAGCCCAGAGCCUGAAUCAGUGUGUGUGUUAGUGGAAGCGUCUGGAAAGGCGCGCGAUACAGGGUGACAGCCCCGUACACAAAAAUGCACAUGCUGUGAGCUCGAUGAGUAGGGCGGGACACGUGGUAUCCUGUCUGAAUAUGGGGGGACCAUCCUCCAAGGCUAAAUACUCCUGACUGACCGAUAGUGAACCAGUACCGUGAGGGAAAGGCGAAAAGAACCCCGGCGAGGGGAGUGAAAAAGAACCUGAAACCGUGUACGUACAAGCAGUGGGAGCACGCUUAGGCGUGUGACUGCGUACCUUUUGUAUAAUGGGUCAGCGACUUAUAUUCUGUAGCAAGGUUAACCGAAUAGGGGAGCCGAAGGGAAACCGAGUCUUAACUGGGCGUUAAGUUGCAGGGUAUAGACCCGAAACCCGGUGAUCUAGCCAUGGGCAGGUUGAAGGUUGGGUAACACUAACUGGAGGACCGAACCGACUAAUGUUGAAAAAUUAGCGGAUGACUUGUGGCUGGGGGUGAAAGGCCAAUCAAACCGGGAGAUAGCUGGUUCUCCCCGAAAGCUAUUUAGGUAGCGCCUCGUGAAUUCAUCUCCGGGGGUAGAGCACUGUUUCGGCAAGGGGGUCAUCCCGACUUACCAACCCGAUGCAAACUGCGAAUACCGGAGAAUGUUAUCACGGGAGACACACGGCGGGUGCUAACGUCCGUCGUGAAGAGGGAAACAACCCAGACCGCCAGCUAAGGUCCCAAAGUCAUGGUUAAGUGGGAAACGAUGUGGGAAGGCCCAGACAGCCAGGAUGUUGGCUUAGAAGCAGCCAUCAUUUAAAGAAAGCGUAAUAGCUCACUGGUCGAGUCGGCCUGCGCGGAAGAUGUAACGGGGCUAAACCAUGCACCGAAGCUGCGGCAGCGACGCUGAUGCGUUGUUGGGUAGGGGAGCGUUCUGUAAGCCUGCGAAGGUGUGCUGUGAGGCAUGCUGGAGGUAUCAGAAGUGCGAAUGCUGACAUAAGUAACGAUAAAGCGGGUGAAAAGCCCGCUCGCCGGAAGACCAAGGGUUCCUGUCCAACGUUAAUCGGGGCAGGGUGAGUCGACCCCUAAGGCGAGGCCGAAAGGCGUAGUCGAUGGGAAACAGGUUAAUAUUCCUGUACUUGGUGUUACUGCGAAGGGGGGACGGAGAAGGCUAUGUUGGCCGGGCGACGGUUGUCCCGGUUUAAGCGUGUAGGCUGGUUUUCCAGGCAAAUCCGGAAAAUCAAGGCUGAGGCGUGAUGACGAGGCACUACGGUGCUGAAGCAACAAAUGCCCUGCUUCCAGGAAAAGCCUCUAAGCAUCAGGUAACAUCAAAUCGUACCCCAAACCGACACAGGUGGUCAGGUAGAGAAUACCAAGGCGCUUGAGAGAACUCGGGUGAAGGAACUAGGCAAAAUGGUGCCGUAACUUCGGGAGAAGGCACGCUGAUAUGUAGGUGAGGUCCCUCGCGGAUGGAGCUGAAAUCAGUCGAAGAUACCAGCUGGCUGCAACUGUUUAUUAAAAACACAGCACUGUGCAAACACGAAAGUGGACGUAUACGGUGUGACGCCUGCCCGGUGCCGGAAGGUUAAUUGAUGGGGUUAGCGCAAGCGAAGCUCUUGAUCGAAGCCCCGGUAAACGGCAGCCGUAACUAUAACGGUCCUAAGGUAGCGAAAUUCCUUGUCGGGUAAGUUCCGACCUGCACGAAUGGCGUAAUGAUGGCCAGGCUGUCUCCACCCGAGACUCAGUGAAAUUGAACUCGCUGUGAAGAUGCAGUGUACCCGCGGCAAGACGGAAAGACCCCGUGAACCUUUACUAUAGCUUGACACUGAACAUUGAGCCUUGAUGUGUAGGAUAGGUGGGAGGCUUAGAAGUGUGGACGCCAGUCUGCAUGGAGCCGACCUUGAAAUACCACCCUUUAAUGUUUGAUGUUCUAACGUUGACCCGUAAUCCGGGUUGCGGACAGUGUCUGGUGGGUAGUUUGACUGGGGCGGUCUCCUCCUAAAGAGUAACGGAGGAGCACGAAGGUUGGCUAAUCCUGGUCGGACAUCAGGAGGUUAGUGCAAUGGCAUAAGCCAGCUUGACUGCGAGCGUGACGGCGCGAGCAGGUGCGAAAGCAGGUCAUAGUGAUCCGGUGGUUCUGAAUGGAAGGGCCAUCGCUCAACGGAUAAAAGGUACUCCGGGGAUAACAGGCUGAUACCGCCCAAGAGUUCAUAUCGACGGCGGUGUUUGGCACCUCGAUGUCGGCUCAUCACAUCCUGGGGCUGAAGUAGGUCCCAAGGGUAUGGCUGUUCGCCAUUUAAAGUGGUACGCGAGCUGGGUUUAGAACGUCGUGAGACAGUUCGGUCCCUAUCUGCCGUGGGCGCUGGAGAACUGAGGGGGGCUGCUCCUAGUACGAGAGGACCGGAGUGGACGCAUCACUGGUGUUCGGGUUGUCAUGCCAAUGGCACUGCCCGGUAGCUAAAUGCGGAAGAGAUAAGUGCUGAAAGCAUCUAAGCACGAAACUUGCCCCGAGAUGAGUUCUCCCUGACCCUUUAAGGGUCCUGAAGGAACGUUGAAGACGACGACGUUGAUAGGCCGGGUGUGUAAGCGCAGCGAUGCGUUGAGCUAACCGGUACUAAUGAACCGUGAGGCUUAACCUU